GGCUCCGUGGUCUAACGGUUAGCGACAUUGCCCUUUCACGGCGAUAAUGCAGGGUUCGAAUCCCGCCGGAGUCA
rnacentral:tRNA from 3 species